rnacentral:rRNA from 1 species
AGGGAUCAUUACACAAAUAUGAAGGCGGGCUGGAACCUCUCGGGGUUACAGCCUUGCUGAAUUAUUCACCCUUGUCUUUUGCGUACUUCUUGUUUCCUUGGUGGGUUCGCCCACCACUAGGACAAACAUAAACCUUUUGUAAUUGCAAUCAGCGUCAGUAACAAAUUAAUAAUUACAACUUUCAACAACGGAUCUCUUGGUUCUGGCAUCGAUGAAGAACGCAGCGAAAUGCGAUAAGUAGUGUGAAUUGCAGAAUUCAGUGAAUCAUCGAAUCUUUGAACGCACAUUGCGCCCUUUGGUAUUCCAAAGGGCAUGCCUGUUCGAGCGUCAUUUGUACCCUCAAGCUUUGCUUGGUGUUGGGCGUCUUGUCUCUAGCUUUGCUGGAGACUCGCCUUAAAGUAAUUGGCAGCCGGCCUACUGGUUUCGGAGCGCAGCACAAGUCGCACUCUCUAUCAGCAAAGGUCUAGCAUCCAUUAAGCCUUUUUUUCAACUUUUGACCUCGGAUCAGGUAGGGAUACCCGCUGAACUUAAG